UAGCCAUGAUGUGGACAGGAAUUUGUGAGAUCUUUGAACCUUUCUCAGCAUUGGAAGAAGGUCUCUUCCUCUUUCUGAGCAAAGUUCAUGAUCUCCUUCCUUAAAGUGU